CAAUCUGUCGCUUAUGUUUUUUACAUAUGAGGAAAGUCCGGGCAACACAGAGCACCAUAUUUCUUAACGGGAAGCUAUCCGUGAGGGUAGAGUAAUGUAACAGAAAAUAACCGCCUUUAAAAAAGGUAAGGGUGAAAAGGUGAGGUAAGAGCUUACCGGUUUUUAUGGUAACAUAAAGAGCCGUACAUCUUAUGGGUUGUAAGGUUAUGUAUACCGACGUUGUAGGGCUGCUCGUCCGAUGUCGGGGGGUAAACCGCUAGAGCUUUAUGGUAACAUAAAGUCAAGAUAAAUGACAGAUUCCUUUUGAAAUGAAGGUACAGAACCCGGCUUAUCGGCCUACUGU
rnacentral:RNase_P_RNA from 1 species